CAGAGUUUCAGAUCAUGAGUACGUAUCAACCAAAGAGAUUCAGCCCCGCCCACACCGUCAACCAACGAGAUGCCAGCCCCGCCCAUGCACACGUCAUCCUUCAUCGGAGGAGAAUGGGACAAGACCAGCCACUGCGCGCCACAGCUUCUCCACGCCACUGCCAUCCUGAACCAAAGAACCACCAAGCAACGCCUAGAUCAGCCUCCGCUUCACGCCGUUAAUACUCCAUGCGCCGCUGCAUCACGAGAAGAUCAGCCAUGACAAAUCACAUGAGCCGUGUAUGACCACCACCCAAUGCAGCCAAGUCCUCUCAUGCACAACGGAAGUCCCUCCAACCAACGGCGCCACCACCCUCCGCUCUUGGAAAUCUAUAUCAGAAGCCACAUGUGAGAGUACGCCAAGAACCAGCGCAACCACCUGCAUAUAUAUAAGUACCGACCGAUCUUGCAGCAGCCUCUGUUUUAAGCAAGAAGAAUAGAGCAUCAUCUCCAAACUGAGGGCCAUGCGUACUCCUGCUGCAAUUGGGCCACGAUGCCACAGUACGCAGCAACAGAACACAUCGUGAGGAGGAAAACAAGCCUCCACCACCCAUACAAUACUGCCGCCUCCCAGCCACCUUGUUGCCGCUUCGUAGCUGCUCUCAUGGAGAGUCUCCGUCGCACAGCCCCUGUUUGGUUUUGCUCUCAUGACUUUGCAGAAAUUCAUGUUACGAAGAUCACACAGGAUGUUAUGGUACUAGAAGCACUUCUCUGCAUUGUUUGUGAAAGGAAGAGAUGAAGUAGACUUUUAUAAGAGGCAGCUGAGAAAUUAACUGUGGAAAGCUGUACAAAUUCUGUUUGGCUAAUCUAUCUGUAAUAGAGUUUCAAAAUGUUUUGUGAGUUGAAAUGUUCAGGAAUUUUUCACAUGUAAUGAUUUUAUAUAUAGUAAUUAUUAAAUCACUUUGAUGUGCUUUGAUUUGUAAUUUUUUUUUAUUAUAUGAAUAAU